UUUGAUAUCAAUAUUACAUUUGAUUUCACGAUUAUUAUGACAAUGAUUAUCAUAAUUACCAUCACCAUUUUCAUCAUCAUUACUCCCACUCAUCAUCCUUAUUAGUAUUAUCCUCAUAAUCACUAGCGCGUUUGAUUAAAUUAAUUAGAGAGAAAUUGAGAAUUACUGCGCACUGAUUUCUCAACCAUUAAGCACUAAGCGAAAGAAUAUCAAAGUCAGAUUUUUUCCUAGAAAUUCUGAUGAUGCUGACAUUUCCCUUAUAUGGACAGUCAGCCACAUCCCUUGCAGCGCCGUGCCUAAAUAGGUAUGAUGAUAGUGGUUUUGACAAUGCUGAUAGCGGUAGUAAUGAGCUGAAGGAUGAUUGACGUCAGGAAAGGUAGCCAGUAAGGUAAAGGCGGUAUUGACAGGGAAGUUCAGCUGGGACGUCGCCUUCGACUUUGGCUUUGACAC